ACGAGAUAUGGUCAUAUAGCCAUAAUAUAUACCUAGGUCUUUGAUGGCUCCUACUUUCUACAAACAACUCCAUAUCAAUUUACCAAACUACCCCUCCCUUAUCUCUCUCUCCUCUCUCAAAUAAUUACUCUCAUGAUGAUGUCCUCUGUUUCACUCCACAAACCCCCAUAAAAAUCACUCACUUUCUUGUUUCUGAAUCGAAAAACCAAAUCAUCUCUCUCAAUUCCAAAAAAAAAAAAAGGAAGCUGGAUUCUUGAGGGGAAUGACGUCUCGGCUCGAAGGCUCCCAAUUCACAAUCGAAAGUUCUUCAAUUUUUAAUUUUAAAUCGUUAAAUUUCUGGGAUUUUUCCGCCUUCGGACCAGGCUUCAUUCCCCUUAAUUUGAGCUUUCAAAUCACACAAAUUCAGUUUCUACUGCUUCGAUUACAUCUGGGUAUGAUCAAUUUAAUCCAUCUCUUUCAAUUCAAUUCAAUUAAUUUGAUUAAUUUUCAAUAAUUUUUUAAUGUGGUUUUCGUGAAAUUCAAUAGGGUUUUGAUCUUCAUUGAGUGCAGAUUAGUGUAAUGAUGAAAAAGUAGGUAUGGUUUUUGGUUUGUAGAUUGAUUUCUCUUUAUUUUGGGGAAUUUUUUGGAUUUAUUAAUGGUUUGAGAAUUUCAACGCUAGUUAUCAUAUCAUAUCAUCAUAUCAUUCAUACAUAUGUCUGCUUAUGUGGUUUUGUUUGUCAGUCAUUUUGACUCUUUCUUGUAAUCCCUAGUUUUCCAUCAUUGAACUCAUCUUUUUUCAUCAUUACCAUUUUGAACCUUCUACCAAAUCUAGGGUUUGUAGUACUAUCAUCUUCUUCUUCUUCUUCUUCUUCUUCUUCUUCUUCUUCUUCUUCUUCUUCUUCUUCUUCUUCUUCUUCUUCUUCUUCAUUUCCUUCCUAUUUUUUGUUCCAAUCUUAAUCUUUUAUGCUCGUAUAUCUUGUAUUUGCCUCCUAAAACUUGCAAAUAGUGGAUACUAAUAAAGGUUAAAGGUUGUGUACAUCUUGACCUGCCUCUUAAAACUCGCAAAUAGUGAAAUCUAGUAAAGGUUAAAGGUUGCGUUUAUCUUGACAUGCCUCUUAAAACUCGCACAAUUGUGGAUACUAGUAAAAGUUAAAGAUUGUGUAUAUCUUGAUCUGUCUCUUAAAAUUCGCUUUUGACUAAUAGUGAAAACAAGUUUUAAAGUUGCUUACAUCUUGACCUCCUAAAACUCGUAUUAUGAGCUAUUGUUGUUGAAAUCUAUUUGAUCUUAAGCAUUUUUUGUUUACAUUAUAGAGAUUUCAAAGAGAGAGAUUUGAUUGUUUUUUUUGCUCUUAUUUUAUCAAAAUGUUGGUAGGCUUCGUACAUCUUGACCUCCUAAAACUCGCAGUUCCCCGAUUUGUAUUGGAUUGUUAUUGUUGUUGUGGUUGUUUUUUUGAUUGAAUCACGUGUUAUUGUGAAAUCUAUUUGAUCUUAAUUAAGCUUUUUUAAUAUGAAAGACGAUCAUCUUGUUGUUUUAUUAAAUGUUGGUAGGUGAAUAUAUAAAUUACAUACAUACACAUACCAAUAAGGUGAUAAUUUAUUUAAUGUGGUGCAUAGUGUGUGAGGAUCAUUGAAGAUUUUGCAGGCAGCAGGCACUAAUUAAAAUGUUGCUAGAAAUGUCGUCAAUGCCAUUGUUUUACUGGGAAAAGAGGUUUCUCUGAUAUUUUUAUUUAUUAAUAAUAAAUAAAUAGAAAUGCUCGUCCCUUUUGAUUUUUUUAUUUAGAACUAAUUAGAUUCCUUUUUGAGAAUAAAUUUAUUUAGUGAAUUUUGUUGCAAGAAUUAGAUGCACAUUCGUCAUUUCGUCACUUGAUAUGUUUGGAAUAGGCAGAACAAACUAUGUUAUCCAAACUCGGAUAUCCAUAUCGAAUACAAAUAUAUGUUUAAGUAUCAAACACGGUUAUUUUGUUAAAAAGUUGCAUGAUUUUGAUCUAAAAGAAUGUCAAACUGUCUAUAUUCAUGUUCGAGUGUUAAGGAUUCCAUGCCUCCGUGACUCCGUCCCUUAAUACUCGACCGGUUUUGACUUUUUACACUAUUCACAUAAUUCACUUUAACCCUACUUUAUUUCUAGUAUAUGAAAACAAAUGUUAGUAUAUAAUAUAUUGUUGGCUUCAUCUUAAUAUAUAUUUUCAAAAUAUUAAUAUUUUUAUAAGUUUUUAUAAUAUGUAGUUAAAGAAAUUGGUGGUUAAAGUUGUGGAUUGGCAAAUGUGUCCGAUCAAAACAGGUCGAGUAUUAAGGAAUAGAUAGAGUAAUAUACAGAGUAGAAGAGAAAUAAAUGUACGGAGUAGUAUAAUGCAAUUUGUCACGAAGUUACAGUGUGUCCCCUUGGCUUAUUCUCUGAAUCUUUUUACCCCCUUUCCCUUUUCUUUUUACUUGUCUGCUACGAAAGUGAAACUUGCAUAAUUAAAACUAAAGGAACAAAUCCGUACAGUUGUUUCCAUUUUUGUUUUUAUUGGAUAGUUCAUUGUUGGAUCUAAAAUAGCACAUCGAGUUUGAUACAUUGUGAUAUUACCAGUGAUGAUAAGCUUCCUAAAUAGGGUUAGUAUAGUAUAAAAUGCAAUAAAGACAUAGAGUAGCUAGGUCUUUACGACUGGUUGACUACACGAUCGAAUAUGACUAUAUGAGACGAUUUUUGUGAUGAAGGAUAACUUUGUAGGAGGUUGAAUAUAAUAUAAAUGAAAAAUGGGACGAUUUGAGACAUUUUGUGGUAUGAUCUAAUUUGGUUUGAAUGUUUUAUGUGAUUUUAUUUUUAUUUUUCUGGUUUGAUCUAAUUCGAUUUUUCUGUUUUGAUCUAAUUCGAUUUUUCUGUUUUGAUCUAAUAAGCAGUAUAAAUAAGGUGAAGAGAAUAGGGCCUAAUACUCACGGAGUAACUAUUUUCACCUUACAAAAUAACAUGAAAAAUGAUUUCAAACAAGAUCCAAAUUCUAGUCGCAUUUGUCGCAAAUUAAUUUUAGCGACGGAAAAUAGGUGUUUUGCGACUACUUUGUUCAGUCGCAAAUUCACGAUUUUCUUGUAGUGAUCAAUAGACUCAUAUAAGAGUUACUCCCUAUCAAGUUGAAUUAACAAUUAAUUAAAUCUACUCUAAUAUUUUAAAACACAAUGUUUGCAUGAAGUGAUGCCACGUGUCAUCUCUGCCACGUGUCAUCUCUUUUAUAUUAUUUUAUUUUUAUCAAAUCAUCAUUUAUAUUUACAAACUUUUGUGUAAGACGGUCUUACAGGAAAGACCGCAUUGAUGACACUUAAAAUGCCACGUAGUCACGCUGACGUCAGCAAUAUAUAUCCCUUUUAUUUUCAGAUUCCAAACCCUAAUUCAUUUCUCUGCCUCCCUCCUAAACUCUUCCCCCUCUUUCUCUCUCCUAACCCUCUGUCUCUCUCUCUCUUAACACUCUGCCUCUCUCUCCUCUCCGCGGAAGAGCUGGCGUGUGGCCGUUUUCGGCGAUGUUGAAGCGCGGAGAGGUGGUGUGUGGUCGUUUUCGGCGACGUUGAAGCUAGAAGACGGUUGAUUCGGCGAGGAAGGCGGUGGCGUUGUCGCUACAUGAGAUUUGAGACUUUGAGAGGAGGUGGCAGCGGCGCCUGGAAUUACUUUACUGGAGGUGGAGGUGCCGUCGAUGAUGGAGGCAACAGAGGCGGAUAAUUAGGUUUUGGAUGAUGGAGGCAACAGAGGCGGAUAAUUAGGUUUUGGAUGAUUAAUGCCUUGUUAACAUUUCUCGUCGUCGUCGUCGCACUCGCUACAACUCUUUGAAGGAGAAGGUGAAGGUGGAUGCGGCAUUGGCUGCAGCGGUACAAAGGUGAAGGUGGAUGCGGCGGUGGAUGUAUGUCAAAGAAGAGAGCAACACUAUCGAGGCACACACCAACCUUUACCCUCGCCCCUGGCCUGGUGGUCGUUGGUGGCAGAAGAGCACCUCCUGCUCAUGUUGUUGUUCGAUGUUGUUUAUAGCUGGUGGCGUGUUUGUUGCGUUUGUUUGUUUGAUUUGUUUUAAUUGAGAAUAAUUUUGGUUUAGUUAUGAUGAUUUCGUUUUAAUUAAGAAUAUUGUUGUUUUAGUUAAGGUUUUUUGAGUUUUAGUUAAGUUUUUUGAGUUUUAGUUACGUAUUUUUCAGUAUCAA